GUGACCAGCAGCGUCCCUUAUUCCCUUGGCCUUGGUUCCUGUUUGCACUGGCUACAGCAGGGCACUGGCCCCUACUGUCACCGCCACCUACACAAAGAACCUAUCUCUGAGCGCUGAAGCCUACUGCUCAGCCCCAGGUUUGAGGAUGGAUGCCCUGGAUGCUUCGAAGCUGCUGGAUGAGGAGCUGUAUUCAAGACAGCUGUAUGUGCUGGGCUCACCUGCCAUGCAGAGGAUUCAGGGAGCCAGGGUCCUGGUGUCAGGCCUGCAGGGCCUGGGGGCCGAGGUGGCCAAGAACUUGGUCCUGAUGGGCGUGGGCAGCCUCACUCUGCAUGAUCCCCACCCCACCUGCUGGUCCGACCUGGCUGCCCAGUUUCUCCUCUCAGAGCAGCACUUGGAAAGGAGCAGAGCCGAGGCCUCUCAAGAGUUCUUGGCUCAGCUCAACAGAGCUGUCCAGGUCAUCGUGCACACGGGUGACAUCACUGAGGACCUGCUGUUGGACUUCCAGGUCAGCUCAGGCCUGCAGCCCUCAAGAGCAGGAAGGGCUGGGCAGUGGUUUUGGCCCUGCUGAUCACUGUGUCCACCCAGGUGGUGGUGCUGACUGCUGCUAAGCUGGAGGAGCAGCUGAAGGUGGGUACCUUGUGCCAUAAGCAUGGAGUUUGCUUUCUGGCAGCUGACACCCGGGGCCUCGUGGGGGCUCCCCUGGCAUUCUCACUCUGAGGAAAGGGGCCAAUACCCACUACUUCCGUGAUGGAGACUUGGUGACUUUCUCAGGAAUUGAGGGAAUGGCU
rnacentral:sRNA from 1 species